rnacentral:rRNA from 1 species
AUGUAUAAUGGCUUUGUUAAUAUUCAAGCAGUAUUAUAUUGUUUUUGUAUAAGUCGAGACGUCCAUUGCACGUACAAGCUUACUAGUAAAGAGAAGGUGAGGACCAGGGCACAGGGCAUGAGGUUCGUCGCCACCACUGUUUCCCCACUCCUAACCCUAUCCGAUCCAGAGGGAAGCACUGAAGCGACGGGAAGCGCCAGCAGCCACUCCACCGCCGCCGCUCACGCACUCUCUGCCAUCACCGCCGUAUCCACAACCACCGGCCACCGUCACCAUGGCCGGCAUCGGAACGUCCUCGAGCCACAAGAAGGUAAACACCUGAAUACAAAGAAUAUCCCACUGAUCUACUCCUAG